UACGUAGGGUGCAAGCGUUGUCCGGAAUCAUUGGGCGUAAAGCGCGCGCAGGCGGUCCCUUAAGUCUGAUGGGAAAGCCCACGGCUCAACCGUGGAGGGUCAUUGGAAACUGGGGGACUUGAGUACAGAAGAGGAAAGCGGAAUUCCACGUGUAGCGGUGAAAUGCGUAGAGAUGUGGAGGAACACCAGUGGCGAAGGCGGCUUUCUGGUCUGUAACUGACGCUGAGGCGCGAAAGCGUGGGGAGCAAACAGG
rnacentral:rRNA from 1 species